CGUGCUUACACAUGCAAGUCGAACGGAAAGGCUCCAGCUUGCUGGGGUGCUCGAGUGGCGAACGGGUGAGUAACACGUAAGUGAUCUGCCCUGCACUGGGGGAUAAGCUUGGGAAACUGGGUCUAAUACCCUAUAGGACCGCAUCGUGGUUGGUGUGGUGGAAAGGUUUUUCUGGUGUGGGAUGAGCUUGCGGCCUAUCAGCUUGUUGGUGGGGUAAUGGCCUACCAAGGCGGCGACGGGUAGCCGGCCUGAGAGGGUGUGCGGCCACAUUGGGACUGAGAUACGGCCCAGACUCCUACGGGAGGCAGCAGUGGGGAAUUUUGCACAAUGGGCGGAAGCCUGAUGCAGCGACGCCGUGUGGGGGAUGAAGGCCUUCGGGUUGUAAACUCCUUUCGUCAGGGACGAAGUUUUUUUGACGGUACCUGGAUAAGAAGCACCGGCUAACUACGUGCCAGCAGCCGCGGUAAUACGUAGGGUGCGAGCGUUGUCCGGAUUUACUGGGCGUAAAGGGCUCGUAGGUGGUGUGUCGCGUCGUCUGUGUAAUCCAGGGGCUUAACUUUUGGUUGGCAGGCGAUACGGGCAUUGCUUGAGUGCUGUAGGGGAGACUGGAAUUCCUGGUGUAGCGGUGAAAUGCGCAGAUAUCAGGAGGAACACCGAUGGCGAAGGCAGGUCUCUGGGCAGUUACUGACGCUGAGGAGCGAGAGCAUGGGUAGCGAACAGGAUUAGAUAC
rnacentral:rRNA from 1 species